rnacentral:lncRNA from 1 species
ACGCCCAACCAGGCUGAAAAUACCUUGACACCCAAUCCGAGAGGUUUGCUCAUUUCCCUUCGGAUUUAGGUAAUGGUUAAAUUUGGAAGAGGUGGGCGAGCGCCGAGCCCCCGGCGGAGAGGGCCCUGGCGGCGCGUCCCGCGGGCGCCCGGCGGGACCGGUGGGCGCGCCUUCCCAGAGCCGAGCUCACCAGACACUCCGCCGGGUCUGCUCAGCCUUUUGCUAAUUUCCGGUGGUCGGAGCUGUGAAAUUAAAGGCCACCCGGGAGGGAGCGCGCGGGGGCAUGGAGGACCGCUGCUAGGCUCACCCCGUCCUGCUUGGCCAAGGCUAGGACAGCAGACCACGAGCGCGGGUUCUGCCACCUCCUGAGGCUGUACCCCAGCACCUGUCCUUCGGGGAGCAGUGAAGCGCCAUUAUAGCACAACCCUAAUGAUUAUUGAAAAGUAAACUUUUCGCUUGGAUUGUAUGUUUCCUGAGUGUAGGCACUGGAUAUUCAUCAUGUCCACGGUAGGCUAACGAAUGUCUAGACUAAGUAAAUAAAUGCGUGGAAUGAAUUAGUUCUAUUAAUAGAACAGGGGGAAAAAACCCUCAAAACUUCACCCAUAACCAAAUUAACAAACAAAUACAGCGAUCUUCAGUGUUUGUCGAGAUACAUAGUGUGUGGCCUACUGUGUAUAUUCAAAGCCUCCAAUACAGCCUUUCCUGAUAUGGGUGGAUAUUAUUGUGAUCACGUUACUUUUCUAAGUGAAUUGAGUUGGAUUUUCAUCAUUAUUUCAUGCACAAUAAUUCUCCAAUAUCAAACACUGAAGGAAGGGGGCGAUGCACCCAGUUCUUACAAAAUAACCACCAUAUUUUGUUUUGUUUUGUUGGUGCUGAGUAUUAAACCCAGGGCCUUGCACUUGCUCAGUAACCACUGAACUACACCCUCAAGCCCAUGGCAUUUUUGACCAGUCCAAAAUUAUUAUGAGACCAAAAAGCC